GUGGUGACAGAAGCUGGGAAAGUUGGAGACCCUCUUGCAGAAGUCUUUUUCCGUGAGGAGUACAUUCUCAACAAUGCUAUAGAACAUACAAGAAACCGUACAUCGCUCUUACUGAUGGGAUUAACGAUGGGAGGAGCAUGCAAGUCCAGAUCAGCUCAGCUUAAAGUCAGAGAGUUUAACACCAGUUGGAAAGACAGAACGAGAGAGAAAG